rnacentral:lncRNA from 1 species
CCUGUUGCCUGCAGGCCAGAAGCAAGGUCUCGCUGUGUUACCCGGGCUGGAGUGCAGUGGCUACUUACAGACAUGAUCAUAGCAUACUGCAGCCUCGAACUCCUGGACUAAAGCAGUUCUCCUGCCUCAGCCUCCAGAGCAGCUGGGACUGCAGACAUGCACCACAGAGCCCAGCCUGAGUCAUUUUGAUUCUGUAACUGGUGUCCUCUCGGCGGGCUGGCUCACACCCUCCACCACCAGCUGGAGAUGGAAGGAGGAUGCUCACUGUUCAUUCCUCAUGCAGGCCAUCGAUGGAAAUGUCAGACAGUGCGAGUCCACACCUGAACAGUUCUGGGGUCCGCUCUGGGACUGACACUGGCAGAUCCAUCGUGGCACCCGAGCUCUGUGAGGGCAAGACUUUGUUCGGCUGUGGGCUAUGCCCCCAACCCCUCGGACAGUGCCUGCACAGGUGGGCAUUUUUGUUGGAUGAAGGAUUUUCUGUUAAAUGUGUCCAGCACACACACACAAAAAUAAAGCCCAGCAGAUGCUGUUCCAUUGUUUGCUGACUUGCAUCGUUUCUAUGAGAAGUCUGCAGUCUUUUGCAGCAUUGUUUUCCUAUGUAUGCUUGUCUCCUCCCACCCCACUCACCCCAGCUGCUUUCCACAUUCUCUCUCUUUAAUUUUCAGCAGUCUGCCCAUGAUGUGCCUAAAUAGGACUUUCUUUGCAUUCAUCCUGGCUGGGGCUCACUGAACUUUCUGAAUCUGUAGAUUAAUUUUCUUUUUUCAAUAAACCUUGGAAUAUUUUCAGCA